rnacentral:lncRNA from 1 species
GGGAAGGUGAAUCUUUUUCUUCUUAGAUUUGUAUGAUUGUUGAUGAAAUUUUCUAUGUGGGAUUUCUGGGAGUAUUUUGUGAUCGAAUUUUUUUUUUCUCUUUUUGGGUAUCUCUCUCUCCUUUACAACACAGAGACUGUGUCCUUUAAGUUUGAGAGAGGUACCAAGUAUUUGAACAUGUUUGCUUUGAUGUUGUUUCAUUGAG